rnacentral:sRNA from 1 species
GCCAGGCAUGGUGGCUCAUGCCUGUAAUCCCAGCUACUUGGGAGGCUGAGGCAGGAGAAUCACUUGAACUUGGGAGGCAGAGGUUGCAGUGAGCAGAGAUAGCACCACUGCACUCCAGCCUAAGUGACAGAGUGAGACUCUGUUUCAA